GCGAUUAGCUCAGUGGUAGGGCAUUUGUGUUGCAUGCAAGAGGUCCCAGCUUCAAUCUUCAGCUGGACCACAUAGGCA